AUUGAACGCUGGCGGCAGGCCUAACACAUGCAAGUCGAACGAGUGGCGGACGGGUGAGUAAUGUCUGGGAAACUGCCUGAUGGAGGGGGAUAACUACUGGAAACGGUAGCUAAUACCGCAUACCAUAAGAUGUGCCCAGAUGGGAUUAGCUAGUUGGUGGGGUAACGGCUCACCAAGGCGACGAUCCCUAGCUGGUCUGAGAGGAUGACCGGCCACACUGGAACUGAGACACGGUCCAGACUCCUACGGGAGGCAGCAGUGGGGAAUAUUGGGCAAUGGGCGAAAGCCUGAGGGAGCCAUGCCGCGUGUAUGAAGAAGGCUUUCGGGUUGUAAAGUACUUUCAUCGGGGAGGCGUUACCCAAAGAGAAAGCACCGGCUAACUCCGUGCCAGCAGCCGCGGUAAUAC
rnacentral:rRNA from 1 species